rnacentral:rRNA from 1 species
UACAGAGGUCUCAAGCGUUGUUCGGAUUCAUUGGGCGUAAAGCGUGCGUAGGUGGUUGUGUAAGUCAAAUGUGAAAUCCCGGAGCUCAACUCCGGAACUGCAUGCGAUACUGCCCGGCUCGAGGGUUGGAGAGGAGGAUGGAAUUCACGGUGUAGCGGUGAAAUGCGUAGAGAUCGGGAGGAACACCCGUGGCGAAGGCGGGUCUCUGGACAAUACCUGACACUGAGGCACGAAGGCUAGGGGAGCAAACGGG